rnacentral:rRNA from 1 species
GACGGAGGGUGCAAGCGUUGCUCGGAAUCACUGGGCGUAAAGGGUGCGUAGGCGGCUUGGCAGGUCUGGUGUGAAAGCCCCGGGCUCAGCCCGGGAAGGGCGCUAGAAACUGCCAAGCUAGAGUGCCGGAGGGGAGAGUGGAAUUCCUGGUGUAGCGGUGAAAUGCGUAGAGAUCAGGAGGAAUACCGGUGGCGAAAGCGACUCUCUGGACGGCAACUGACGCUGAGGCACGAAAGCGUGGGGAGCAAACAGG